rnacentral:misc_RNA from 1 species
AUAGAACCUUCUUGCAGCAACAUUUGGAAAGUUUUUAUAUACACACUGUAAGUGGGAUAACAUAAAUACCUACUUGAGCCUUUUGAUGCCCACAAGAUUGGUGGUAUGGCGUGCAAACUGGAAAAUGUCAGUUAAAAGAAAACAAAAUUUACAUUUGAUGAUGAAGUUCGAGGUAAAAUGUGAGUUCAGGCUCAAGGUUCUAAGCAAAAUACAUUAUAUAAAUUGUAAAUGAAAUAAAAGUCAG